AAUAGAUACCCCGGUAGUCCACGCCGUAAACGAUGAGUGCUAAGUGUUAGGGGGUUUCCGCCCCUUAGUGCUGCAGCUAACGCAUUAAGCACUCCGCCUGGGGAGUACGGUCGCAAGACUGAAGCUCAAAGGAAUUGACGGGGGCCCGCACAAGCGGUGGAGCAUGUGGUUUAAUUCGAAGCAACGCGAAGAACCUUACCAGGUCUUGACAUCCCGCUGACCGCUAUGGAGACAUAGCUUUCCCUUCGGGGACAGCGGUGACAGGUGGUGCAUGGUUGUCGUCAGCUCGUGUCGUGAGAUGUUGGGUUAAGUCCCGCAACGAGCGCAACCCUUGUCCUUAGUUGCCAUCAUUCAGUUGGGCACUCUAAGGAGACUGCCGUACAAAUACGGAGGAAGGUGGGGAUGACGUCAAAUCAUCAUGCCCCUUAUGACCUGGGCUACACACGUGCUACAAUGGACGGUACAAACGGUUGCGAAGUCGCGAGACGGAGCCAAUCCGAGAAAGCCGUUCUCAGUUCGGAUUGCAGGCUG
rnacentral:rRNA from 1 species